GCCUAGUUAGCUUGGUUGGUAGCGCGUCUGCCUUGUAAGCGCUAGGCCGCGGGUUCGAUUCCCGCCCGCGGCG
rnacentral:tRNA from 1 species